GCCCCCUUCCCCUCCUGCUUUUAUCCUCUUCCUCUGAAGCUUUCAAUCUCCAAUGGCUACCUUGCUCAGUUUCUCAGUAUCUGUUUCUCACCUGACUAUCACUAACACCCCACCCUUCAAGAAAAAGUUGCCGAGAUCCACAAUCAAAGCUCGCCGAGUCGAUAUAGAGAUGGUCCCAACUAAAGAAUUAGUGAAGGAAUUGCGCACUUCACAUACACGCAAAGGAGAAAAGGUAGUUGUUAAUGGGGAGAGUUCGAGUUCAAACUCGGACAGAAGGAGACCUACAUUAUCUCUGGUGAAGCAGAAGGAGAGGAAGCAAAAUCCUUUUAUGGAGCAGAUGGCUGUCUUGCCAUCUGACGAGGGUUUCAGCUGGGCGAGGGAGGACUAUAAUUCGUGGGGGCGAAUUUUCGAUAUUUGGUCUUUCGUGUUAGGGUUAAGAAUGCGGUUUCUGCUUGAUAAUGCAAAGUGGACUUAUGUUGGCGGGUUCACGGAAGAGAAGAAGAAAAUCAGGAGGAGAAGAACUGCUUGCUGGGUGAGAGAGAAGGUGUUGCAACUCGGGCCGACUUUUAUCAAACUUGGGCAGUUGAUUUCGUCGAGAUCGGAUUUGUUUCCGAUGGAGUUGGUGGAUGAGUUAUCUAAAUUGCAGGAUAGAGUACCGCCGUUUUCGUCUGAGAAAGCUAGAGGUUUAAUCGAGAAUGAGUUGGGGGCUCCGAUCGAGACAUUGUUCAAGGAGUUUGAGGAUCGGCCGAUUGCGGCAGCUAGUAUUGGUCAGGUACACCAAGCUAUCCUGCACAAUGGUGCACGAGUGGUCGUUAAAGUUCAGAGGCUGGGAUUGAAGAAACUUCUUGACAUUGAUCUAAGCAAUUUAAAAUUAGUAGCCGAGUAUUUUCAGAAAAGUGACACAUAUGGAGGUCCUACAAAGGACUGGGUAGGUAUAUAUGAAGAAUGCUCGAAGAUUAUCUACCAAGAAAUUGAUUACCUUAAUGAAGGAAAAAAUGCUGAUAGGUUUCGAAGAGAUUUUCGGAAUGUAAAAUGGAUUCGCAUACCUCUUGUCCUUUGGGACUUCACUUCUACAAAAGUAUUAACGCUGGAGUAUGUUCCAGGCAUAAAGGUAAAUAAUUUGGAUCAGCUAGAUGCAUGGGGAUAUAGCCGGUCCCAGAUUGCUACAUAUGCUAUAGAGUCACAUUUAAUGCAGGUAUUAAACUCAGGGUUUUUUCAUGCUGAUCCACAUCCUGGAAAUCUAGCUAUUGACAUUGAUGGAUCUCUCAUCUACUAUGAUUUUGGAAUGAUGGGUGAAAUAAAAUCCCACACUCGGGGCAAAUUACUGGAGUUGUUUUAUGCAGUUUGUGAAAAAGAUACAGAUAAGGUCAUUAGAUGUCUCGUCAAUCUUAAAGCACUUCGACCAACAGGAGACAUGUCACCUGUAAGGAGGUCUAUACAAUUUUUCUUGGAUAAUCUACUGACUUCAUCACUAGAUAAAGAACAGACUUUUG
rnacentral:misc_RNA from 1 species